rnacentral:rRNA from 1 species
GACGAACGCUGGCGGCGUGCUUAACACAUGCAAGUCGAACGGAAAGGCCCUGCUUUUGUGGGGUGCUCGAGUGGCGAACGGGUGAGUAACACGUGAGUAACCUGCCCUUGACUUUGGGAUAACUUCAGGAAACUGGGGCUAAUACCGGAUAGGAGCUCCUGCUGCAUGGUGGGGGUUGGAAAGUUUCGGCGGUUGGGGAUGGACUCGCGGCUUAUCAGCUUGUUGGUGGGGGAGUGGCUUACCAAGGCUUUGACGGGUAGCCGGCCUGAGAGGGUGACCGGCCACAUUGGGACUGAGAUACGGCCCAGACUCCUACGGGAGGCAGCAGUGGGGAAUAUUGCACAAUGGGCGGAAGCCUGAUGCAGCAACGCCGCGUGCGGAAUGCCGGCCUUCGGGUUGUGAACCGCUUUCGCCUGUGACGAAGCGUGAGUGACGGUAAUGGGUAAAGAAGCACCGGCUAACUACGUG